rnacentral:lncRNA from 1 species
ACCUCAGAUUCGGAGCCACUGGUCCCCCUCAAUGUCUUGCUGUCUCCUCUGGGGACCUGGAAAGUCACCUGACACUAGAGACACUAGACACCGGGAAGGGGGGAGGGAAGAGAAGCUCUAUUUGGAGGAGGCACCUGAGAAGAUGAUAGCCGCCGUGGACAAUUUUGAGAUGACCCAAGGAGAAGAUGAGAUGGGCGUAUGUUUGCUGCAAGUGGAGUGGAAUACACUUCUGUGAUUUGCAGUCCCUUCCAUGUAUAAUGGAGUAUUGCUGGCUGUGCAAGUGGAGAAACAACUGGGAAUGCCAACUUGAGGAGCGUCUGGUGGACACCAUCUUGAAUCCAGCACUCUCUCCAUCCCCAGCCAGAAGUGUGUGUUGGUGGUGGGGGAGAGACAAGUUAGAAACAAGAAUAAGAUGAACUGUUAAGUUCCAUUGCAUCAGGGAUGUUCAAAGAAAUGGAAACAACUCCAGGCAUUUCAAGAAGGAAGGAAUUUAAUACAGGAGAUGACUUAGCUUUGAGAGAGGCAGCAGGCUGUAAGGUCUCCAGCAGAUGCAGCUGCCUCCAGAACUCUUGCGGCUCACCCAAAAUCGCACAUCUGCCAAAGCCCACAUGUU